rnacentral:rRNA from 1 species
AACGAACGCUGGCGGCAUGCCUAACACAUGCAAGUCGAACGAGACCUUCGGGUCUAGUGGCGCACGGGUGCGUAACGCGUGGGAAUCUGCCCUUGGGUUCGGAAUAACUCAGAGAAAUUUGAGCUAAUACCGGAUGAUGACGUAAGUCCAAAGAUUUAUCGCCCAAGGAUGAGCCCGCGUAGGAUUAGCUAGUUGGUGAGGUAAAGGCUCACCAAGGCCACGAUCCUUAGCUGGUCUGAGAGGAUGAUCAGCCACACUGGGACUGAGACACGGCCCAGACUCCUACGGGAGGCAGCAGUGGGGAAUAUUGGACAAUGGGCGAAAGCCUGAUCCAGCAAUGCCGCGUGAGUGAUGAAGCCCUUAGGGUUGUAAAGCUCUUUUACCCGGGAUGAUAAUGACAGUACCGGGAGAAUAAGCUCCGGCUAACUCCGUGCCAGCCGCCGCCGUAA